rnacentral:lncRNA from 1 species
AAUUUCCCCUCUCUGUGCAUUUGUUUGUGAGAUAGCCCACUUGCUCCUCAUCCCACUGACAAAACACCAAGACACCUCACAGCUGCUGACCACAAAUAUCCCAAAUGAUCAACACCAGGGUCAUGUAAAUAAAUUCUCCACUUCCCACGUGUUUCUGUAAACUAGCCAAUCCACAACCCCUGAGGGAAAACCUAAGUGUUAUCACACGUGGACCUUAAUAAGGGCAUAGUCCCAAAUGCUUUUAUUGAGAGGUCCACGGGUCGUCUUUUUCUCUCCCCUUACCUGCAGGCUGGGCUCCCUUCCACCUCUUCUCACUGGCCUCCUGUUUGUACCCCUGACCUCUCCGGGAUCUGGAUCCCAACACUGUCUUCUGCAAUGAAAACCCUGAUUUUCUAUAUCUGGACAAAAGACUAGGACAUAACGAGAAUUUUAGCGGAAGGAACUGAGGGAGAGAGAUUGCACAGCAGACAAGGACAAAUAAAGGGAAGGUGGAAACAAGGGU